rnacentral:lncRNA from 1 species
CUGUAUUUGUAGAUCCAGGAACUUCAGUUCAGAUUCUCAGAAAUGGAAGAAAAUAAAUUAGAAAUGUUAGAACAACGAAGACCCUCAGUUGCUUCUUCAGACUUCUGUACUGAGGAUGAACCAGAGGCAGAAUCUACAAACCUGAACCGAAGCACUUUUGCAUGGAUGUGCAUUGCAUUACUUCUCCUUUCCAGAGACAAAGAAUCAUCUCCCACCUCCCAGAAGGGUUGACAGCAAGCCGGGGAAAGAGGCGCUCCCUGCAUGAGACCCAGAGGCCUUUUCUUUCCACUUGAUCUGUGUUACACCGGAUUACGUCGAGGUGUGUUAUUUUACAUCACAGCAUGCUGGAAAUCGGCGUGAAGCGAGGCAGGGGGACCAAAGAGAGCACAGGGGCACGCAAAACCCUCAAAUAAAGGAAAGAUUUGCCAGAACUGCCA